GCUGCUUAGUGUAAGGGGUUCAGCACGCUGAGUAAGACUCAGAGGGACAGGUUCGAGUCCUGUAGCAGGACGACA
rnacentral:tRNA from 1 species